rnacentral:rRNA from 1 species
GACGAACCGUGCGAACGUUGUUCGGAUUCACUGGGCUUAAAGGGCGCGUAGGCGGACUCGCAAGUCUGUGGUGAAAGCCCCCAGCUCAACUGGGGAAGUGCCGUGGAUACUGCAAGUCUGGAGAAGGGUAGGGGCAUCUGGAACGCUGGGUGGAGCGGUGAAAUGCGUUGAUAUCCAGCGGAACUCCGGUGGCGAAGGCGAGGUGCUGGACCCUUUCUGACGCUGAGGCGCGAAAGCCAGGGGAGCAAACGGG